GGGAUGGCCAAACUCAACUGGACUUAUGUGGGUGACCCUGAGGAAUCUCCACAAUCGGAGGGAGAUGAUUCACCUGCAAUCUAGCACCGCCCCUGGGCUCUGACAUCCUGGCUUAGGUGACCAUACCUGACUUCAGUCCACCUCAGCUGACCCGGUCUCCAUCUGAGGGGUGAGGGUGGGCAGAGCUGUCCUGAUGCUGCUGGGCCCACAGAGUGCAUGCUGGCUCAACUACUUCCUGGCUGUGAGACCCUGAUGCCUCACAGAGCCCCAGAGAGGGGCAGAGCUCAGUGGCUGGAGGAACCGUGGCCAUAAGAGGGCGAUCUUGCAUCAGCAAAAUGAUGCUGUGCGAGGUCCCGGAGUGUGCGCUUUUCUGGACCUAAUCCACCUCCCCCCGCCACUCCCCUCCCCACGGCGAUCCCGAUUUUUAGGAUGACUUCUCUAUAGAGUCCAGGCCACCGGCGACAGGAGGACGGAUUUGAUGAGUCUUCACAAGCCUCUCUGCUUGCUAUUAUUAUUAUUAUUAUUAUUAUUUUGUGAUUAUUUUUGUGGAGGGAAUGGCUUGGACCCUGACUCAUUCUGUCAGCUCGGGCCUUCUCAGUGAAGCUCUUGCCAAUCAUUGAUUGAUCAAUGUGUUAAAAAUAAAAAAAAUCUCACCCAGGGCAAGCCACAGACUCGGAGAAAAUAUUUGCCAAAUACAUAUCUGGUAAAGAUAUGCCCAGAGCACAUAGAUAACCCUCAAAACUCAACCAUAAUAAAACGAAGACCCUAAUUAUGACAGAUUAUCCUCUGAGCAGACGCAUCACCAAUGAAGAGCUAGGGUGAGAAGUAAGCACAUGAAAAGAUGCUCAACGUCGUUAGUUAUCGGGACGGACCAAAGAAAACCACAGCGGGAUGUCACUUCACCCGCCCAGGAUAAAAGGGCAACUGCCUGCACCAGGGGCUGGAGGGAUGAGGAGUGGCUGGGGCUCUUUUCGGGAAUGCGGAGUGCAAAGCCACCUUGGGAAACAGCUUGGCAGUUUCUUAGAAAGUUGAACACACGCCACCAUAUGAUCUGGUCAUUCUGCUCCAAAGUGUUUACCUGUGAGAGAAGACAUAUGUCCAUGCACACAUUUGUGCACAAAUGUUCAUAGCAGCUUUAUUUAUAGCCACAAACUGGAAAUGAUCCAAAUACUCAUCAACAGGUGCAUGGAGGAACAAAAUGUGAUUCAUCCAUACAAUGAACAUUUUUCAGUAAUAAAAAGAAAGGAAAUGUUGAUACAUAUCACCUAGAGGAAUCUCAGUGUAAUUAUGUGGAGUGGAAGAAGCCAGACAAGUAAGAGAACAUAGUGUAUGAUUCCAGCAGAUACAAUUCUAGAAAAUGAAAACUAACUGAUAGUCAUGGAAAGCAGAUGAAUUUUUGUCUGGGGCAGAGGAGGCAGGCAUGGUGGUGAGUGAUGGGAGGAUGGGAGGGGGGCUGACCGAGGGGCAGGGGACUCACCUGGGG
rnacentral:lncRNA from 10 species